AAAGAAAAAUAUAUCUGAAGAUUUGAAAAUUGGUAUAGUGAAUAAUGGAAGAUAUUUAGACCUAAAUGGGCAAAGCGGUACUAACGGAAACAGAAAAAUGCCAGGCUUUGAGGGAUCACUGUCAGCUUCAACAGUAAACCUGCCUGUGGUGUCUGUGAUGCCUGGAGUUGAGAUGCCCUUAGGCACCUCUUAAAUCUAGAAGCCGCUCUAACUAUGAGAGGAAGGGGACCACAAGCCACAGAAUGCAGGCGGCUUCUAGAAACUAUAGAGACAAGGAAACAGAUU